UUGAUUUUGUGCUGGUAGAUGUGUUUGUUGUGGGUUCUGCCAGGCUUGGCUGCUUGGCCUAACUCUACUUGUGCUACUAUAUGUUGUUGGUUGCCUCCUUGGUUAUUUGUGAAUCUGAAAACACUUUGUGAGAAGCAAGGAUUGAAGAGAAGGCUAUGAGGCAAUGAGAAGAGCUUCAUUUUUAGUUUUUUUUUAAGAAUUGAUGAAGGACAUGUCAUGUGUUCAGUUGCUAACAUUCUCUCUAUGGUGUAUGCACUUGUUGUUCAUUGCAUUGGAGGGAGAGGAAAACUCUUUAUGAGAAGCAAGGAUUGAAGAGAAGGCUAUGAGCCAAACAACAAGAGUAAGAAAGCCUUGCGGUGUGAAGGCAGUAGCACGCAGCUCCAAGUCAAGUGCAUUGGCCUCAACAUCAAGAGACCAGUACCAUGAGGUUCGCUUGAAUGCUUUCUAGCCCGGCAUCGAACAAUACCCUUGAUAAAACUACAUGGUGGACGCUAAUUGUCAUAUUUUGACCGACAAAUCUGUUUGAAUAGAUUAUACAUGAUUGAUGAUUAUCAGAUGAUUGCAGUCUACCCCAGGGUGAGUUUAUCCGUUUGGUUUAUGCAAAAAAAUGCUUAUUUGGCUUCAUGUGUAACAUGAUUUUUUAAUAUCUAAUAUUUGUUCUGUCCAACAUGAGUACAUGAGAAAGUAGUGCUACUGCUACAUUACUGCUGCUUGCCAAGGGAAAACAGAGUUCCAUUGUAAAAUGAAAUGCCAGAGAUCAAUGAGGAUUCGGGCGGCGGGGCGGGGACUGGUGAUAGGAAACAUAGGUCCAAGAAGAAAUCAAAGAGCAUGACUACAAGGCCGUAACGUUCAUCCCAGCAUGGACUUUGGACCGAAGUCACACCAAUUCAAGAGGGAAGUUGUUCCACCAUAACAUGCAUUACUGGAGUCAAACUCCCUCGAUGUCGGUAUUACCAGUUUCCUGUAUUUGUGACAAGUGUCAACAAUAGCGACUGAGUGAGUGAGACUGAAACUGAACUAACAAACAACUAAAAGAACUAGAAACCAUGAAUUCAUAAAGAUCAACAUUUAGAGGGUGAAUAUAUGUGGGAUGCUAUUCCAUGAUUUACCUCUAAAAAUUGCAUUAGCCACGUUUUGAUGGAUUUACUUUUGUCUAUCACUGUCUCGCUACCAACCUCAAGGCGGCCAAUUAGCUUGAGAUCAAUGUAGUACUUUUCCAGCAGGGAUUUCACAAUUGUCAAGCUGACACAACUUUCCAACUUGAGCAUUCAGAUACCGAACAGAGCAUUGCAUUAAAUAUAUAUACGUAUUUGAUCUAAUUGCUUAGUAAAUUCUACUCAUCAAGAAGUCGUCCCCAAAUUGCCUCUCCCUCCAUACAUAGCUACCUUGCCGCGCACACCAGGUUCGACCAGAUGGAGACCGCCCCUUCCUCUGACCGACAACGAUGGCCUGCAACUCACAAUCAGACCCUACUCACCAAAAUGACACCAGUAUGCUUUCUUACUAUAUUACCUAAUUCAAUGACAAGAAGGCAAAAACAAUGCUGAAGCAUCAGAAUGUGUCGUCGAUCAAUAUUUUAGUUAAUAAACCAUGAAAUGGAAAAGGUUAGUUUGAUCUCUCCAAGAAACAUCAUAUCUUAAACCAUGUUCACACGCGCCAUCUAAACCUAUGUGAUCCCUCUCGGUUCAGUUUUGAUGAGGUGUGUACAGAGAAAAGGCAACAUAAAGUUGGUCCAAAGAAAAUAGUGUAUAUUAACCUGGGAAGGGUAUGAAAAUUGAGCUGCAAGAUAAACCGUAGCAUAUUUUUCCUUUUUGCUCUCCUGAAAAUUUAUAUACAAUGAGAAAGUUCAUAUUAGCAUGUAGCAUACGUCAUGAAGGAAGCUGCGCUGAAUUAGUCAAAGGAAAUCCAAAACUGCAGGUCGAACCUUCAUCACCACAUUCGCGCCAAAGUGAGCUCAAAUGAACCAUGGACUAUCAGUCAGUAUAAUAUCCAUAGAUACAUCAUCAACCCUGUAACCAAAUUAUUGUAACCUUUCCAAGUUGCACUAUAACUUCAUGAAUCAUAAUUUAAAAACUGGAGAGUGGACAAGAAAAAAAAACUUUUUAGUUUAGUUGGUUUGAAGCCAAAUUCUAAUCAUAUAAAUGAAGCCAAAAAGAUGAGAGACACAAGAAGACAUUCCAGAUUUUGUUUGUGUGCAUUUUCUGGAAGUAAAAAAAUUGAUUUCUCACAUUCAUAGCCAUCAACUUAUCCCAAACAGGCAACAAAUUAAAGUACAUAUUAUGAUGCAGUUGGAAGAAAACAAUCAUAAGUAUGUCCAAACCAGAAACUCAAUGCAAUAUCUUUUAACAAAACUAUAUCAAGACUAUGCCCAGUCUCACCUUCUGUAGUAUUUUAAUGUAGACUCUUAUGGAUGCACUCGGUGUGUACUAGAGCCUAAUCAUCUUCGCCUAAUUAAAUCCUUUGGCACCUUAUUUCUUGCCUUCACUUGCUGCUGGCCACCAGGUUCAUACAGGAAAAUAAGGAAAGAAAAGAAAUCAGUAGUCAAGCCGACACAACACGCCAAUCGCCCAGAUGGGCGAAUCACGUCGGCCAUCACUUCUAGACUGCCUCGAAGGCUCGAUGUAAAGCUCAACGAGUGCAAUCGCUACUGUCGUGUUGUUUCUAUUCUAACGCGAUCUACUUGAGACCAGGAGACAAGAUUCUAUUGGGUCCAGCUCCUAAUGAUUGAUGAUGUAUAAUUUGUCUAAUUCCAGUUCUUGGAGCCACCCACUCCUCAAUUAGUGAUAGUCACGUUACUCAUGUAGUUUCUUAUGUGUUGCCCUGAAAACCGUACUAAUUGUAAUUCUGUUGCUCUCAAGUUUGCUAAUGUGUCGUUGUGUAGUUGCAAACGUCUUUCACUUGACUAGCCUGACCUCUUACUAUUAUAUUGCAUAUUUUGAGAUGAUAUUGGCACUCACUCGAGCAUCGAUUUUCUGUGUUCAUUGGAAGUUUUUUUAACUU